GGGAGUUUGGCCGAGUGGUUUAAGGCGCCAGAUUUAGGUUUCUUUGCUUAAACAUUCUGGUAUCUUCGGAUGCGUGGGUUCGAAUCCCUCAGCUCUCA